UACGAAGGGGGCUAGCGUUGUUCGGAUUUACUGGGCGUAAAGCGCACGUAGGCGGAUCGUUAAGUCGGGGGUGAAAUCCUGGAGCUCAACUCCAGAACUGCCUUCGAUACUGGCGAUCUCGAGUCCGGAAGAGGUGAGUGGACCUCCUAGUGUAGAGGUGGAAUUCGUAGAUAUUAGGAAGAACACCAGUGGCGAAGGCGGCUCACUGGUCCGGUACUGACGCUGAGGUGCGAAAGCGUGGGGAGCAAACAGG
rnacentral:rRNA from 1 species